GGCUGUCGCGGGCGGUUAGGUCCAGCAGAAUCCCUUCCUUUACUGCCCCCAUGGCCUUCACCUACAGCUGCAUUGCCAACGGCCGAGCGGUCCUGGCGGAGCUGACCCUCACCAGCGGCUCCUAUCAGGAAGCAGCGGCAAUAGUGCUUAGACUUGUACUACUCAGAGCUGAACCAAAGACCAUAAUUCGAAUGGGAAGCUUUGUCUACCAUACUCUCUGUAUUGGUGGAAUCACUCAUCUAUGUGCUACAGACAAUGCCAUGGAUAUUAUAACACCAUCAGCAUUUCUUAAAAACGUUAGUGAUACAUUUCUGAGAAAUUCCUUGAUGUCACAAGAAUAUUUUUCUCCUUCAAAUACAGUUGCUGCAGAUUUUCAACAAGUAUUAGGAAAGUAUAUGAUGAAAUACAAUAAAAAUCAAGAUGACUGCUCAAUUUCCACACUGAGGAAUCAAAUAACUGAUGUAAAAAAUAUCAUGACCCAAAAUAUUGAUAAAAUUUCAGAAAGCGAAGAAAGAUUGAAUAUCUUCACUAACAGAGCAGAUGAUCCCCAAACAACUGCCAAAGAAUCCCCCAAAACAAGAAAGACUUCUAGGAGAAUAUGGUGGUAACACUUCAGAAAGAUUAUAAUCAUUGCUGUGGCAAUUCUCCUUUCAAUCAUCAUCAUUCUUUUAAGUGCAAAUGUAAUACCAACCUGACCUUCUUCUCCCAUCCCCAGCAGCAUUCUAAGGGAAGUAAAUCACCAUGCUGACCAAUGCAUCGGGGUCCACCAGACAUGGCAGAAAUAAUAAAAGUGUUACCUCAGAAACAUAGAAGGAAACUUGUGUCUCAAGAAGAAACUGAACUUAUCCAACAUGGAGGUCCAGAAUAAUCACUGACAGUGUGGCUGCUGUUUAUCAUCAGACAAAAGAAUAGUCUAUACAAUAAAGGACUCCCAAAAUGACAAAUGAGAAGUCAUACACUAAACAAUUUUAAUAAAUAUUCUGUAAAAAAAUGAAACACUGAAAAUUUAGAUGGACACUUGUAUCUCCUAAUUUAUAUAUCUUGGUCAGCUUCUCCACAAGCUUACCUAAUUGUUUAAAUACUUUAUCCUUAUUAAAGUAUACAUUUUGAAAUGUUAGCCUAUUAAUUUACUCACGAUUAUCAAGUAUUGCCAGUGUUAAAACUACUAAAAGCACACAAUGUUUAGUAAACUAUCAUAGGUUUCCUAUAAUUUCACUUCUUUCAGUUUGUUUAGGCAUGGAAAUAAUUUAAAAGGCAGAUUUGCUGCCUUUGGGAAGUGAUUUUCCUGAAAUUGGAUGAAGAUUAGUGAAAUAAUGACUCCAUUUUUCUUAAUUCUCUUAAUGUUUUUUUCACUCACAAAGUUACUGGAUGGAGUAUAAUUAGCUUAAUAAGACUAUCCUCCUCUAAAUGAUAAAAAUAUAGCCAAGGUAAUAGAGGCCCUCAGUGGAAUUAAGCCUGGGGACUUAACACAAAAGAUUUUUUUUUAAUCUAUAUUCAGAAAAAAAUACAAGAGUAUAAAAAGGAAAAUAAGAGGUCAAAAUGAAUAUACCAUAGAAAUACAUGUUUUGACUAGAUAAUUGCAAUUUAUUUAAUGUUGUCUGGCGUAUUAAGAAUAUCGUGUUAUUUUACUGUUUUGAUUACAGUCAUGUAUGUAAGUUCCUAUAAUUAACUUUCUCAAACUUAAUUUCUGAAAGCCUGUAAUAUCAACCUAAAUGUUUACCUUCUUUAGGCAAUUUAUGAAACUUUAAUAGGAUCCUACAGU